AUUGAACGCUGGCGGCAUGCCUUACACAUGCAAGUCGAACGGUAACGGGCCUUCGGGUGCCGACGAGUGGCGAACGGGUGAGUAAUACAUCGGAACGUGCCCGAUCGUGGGGGAUAACGAGGCGAAAGCUUUGCUAAUACCGCAUACGAUCUACGGAUGAAAGCAGGGGACCGCAAGGCCUUGCGCGGACGGAGCGGCCGAUGGCAGAUUAGGUAGUUGGUGGGAUAAAAGCUUACCAAGCCGACGAUCUGUAGCUGGUCUGAGAGGAUGAUCAGCCACACUGGGACUGAGACACGGCCCAGACUCCUACGGGAGGCAGCAGUGGGGAAUUUUGGACAAUGGGCGCAAGCCUGAUCCAGCCAUGCCGCGUGCAGGAUGAAGGCCUUCGGGUUGUAAAGUGCUUUUGUACGGAACGAAAAGCCUUCUUUUAAUACAGGAGGGUCAUGACGGUACCGGAAGAAUAAGCACCGGCUAACUACGUG
rnacentral:rRNA from 1 species